CUGGAAUCCACUCGAGAGAAUAUAGCUUCUUUGCUUUUGGGUCUUGAAUAUGUUGUCAACAUCUCAUAUGUUGAUGAUAUUGAGGAUUUUAAGAUGGGUCCGUGAAACAAUGAAAGACAUGAUGUUCUUGUUCAAUACAAGAUGCUGAGAAAGUUAAGCAAAGAACUUAGUGGUGAGGACUGGACAUGCAACAAUUUGAACACACUGUGCUGAGCAAUAGGAUCUAUAUCUGGCUCCAUGAUGGAAGAACAGGUGUUGGGACUUGGUGUUGCUGUGAUCUUGCAUCUCGACAAGAAGUGUAUUGUUUUUUCUUUGGUGAAUUCAAGAAUUGCUUUCUAUCACUUGGUUUAAUUUAAUCUGCACUACUUUUUCUAUAAAAUGACCAGAGUGCUCAUUUCUGGGGUUGAUCUCUGACCUUGAGGUUAUUGCAGCAGAAAACUGUGCAGAUAUUCUUUACCUCACCCUUAUGCAUUCUGGGCUAUUGGAUCGUAAAAUUGAGUUUUUGCACCCAAUUGAAGAAGGGCUCGAAUUCUACAGUUAAGAACAACUUUGUGGAGACAGAGCUUAAAAUAACCAUAUCAACAAAUGCUGUAUACCAAGGCAAAACAAAUGUUCUUGGUAUGAAGCUUGCAUCCUUUGUUCAACCAGCAUGUGGCUAAUAAGGUGUUUGGCUCUUGGAACAAAGUGUAUGCUUAAGUUAACCCUGCAGUAUAAUCCCGAUAAAGGGAAUUAUGAAAAAUUUGCUGGAACCGGAUGCAUGUUUUGUUCUCAAAGGGUGCCCUAUAAAGUAUAAUUUCUAGAUAUACAACCAUUCUGUGCAAUGAUGAUGGUUCCAUUGUGCCACUUACAGAUGAUAUUUGAGCAGAGCUGGACUCAAGGUUCCUAAGCUUUGGAAUUUCAAUCAUGGACACAUUUUUGAGGCAUGUAAAGACAAUCUCAAGAAGCUUCAGUUAAGUUAUCUAGAUUCACUUUCUUAUUGUCAAAAGGCAUACUGGCAUGUUUUCAAUUUCUUGUUUGUUUUCUUUCUGAUUGUUGUUACGUUUCUUCCUGAUUCUUGUUU